GGCCAGCGCCCAGAUCUCCUGCGCCGCCAUCUCCCCCUCCCUCCUCCUCGCUCGCCCGCGUCGCUUGCUCGCGCCACCCGCUGCGGCCGCCCUCGCCGCGCCAGCCGCCACCGCGUGCUCCAGCGUACGCGCGGCGGGCGCCGCUCGCCCGUGCCGGACGGCACGGAGGCUGAAGCGGCCUCGCGCUCGGCCGCUAGCGCCGCGCGGAACGCGUGGAGGGGCGCGCCGAGCUCGGCGCUCCUCCUCGCCGCUUGCCGCCGCAGGCCCUUCCCCUUCUCAGAUUCCUACUGGCCCCCUUCUCCUUCUCCUUCCCCGACCACCGUCGGUCCCCCUUCCUCGACGCGUCGCCGGCCCAAGGUCCCGGACCCUCCUCUCGGAUACGAAUCGCGGCGGGUGGCGGAAACCCUAGGAACUCAUGUGGUGCCCCGCCCCCUGCAUCCAUCUGUGGCGCACUCGCGACGCCCUCGGCGACUCCUGUGGCCUGCCCUCACGACGGCAUCGUCUCCAGCUGCGCGCCCUGCAACUUGAGUUGGGGCGAGGCAAUAACAGCUGCAGGAACAAGAAAAAAUGAUUCCAUACUUAGCGAGCUUCAAACCCAGAUUAAGAACAAGAAGUUGACAGUUGAUGUCAAGGCUAGCUCAGAGUCAGAUGUUGCAGCUCUGUGAAUUGUCAUAGUUUAAGUAAUUCUUUGAUACAUUUGAUAUUAUAUCAGCCACUUUGAAAUGAAUGUGCCGCAGACAUUUUUUUCGGCAAGGGUGGAUCCAUACAACAUUGACAAGGGUGGUUAUCAGGCAAGUGAUGUACCAGUUGUGCUGCUUGUAGCAGGUUGUGCUCUUGCCACUCCUAAUAGCGACUCUACUGCUUGCUGGAUCUACCUCUUGCUUUCUCACUUGAACAGACCACAUGGCUGAGUUUUGGGUCAAGCACAAGGUCAUUUUGCUAAUUACAAAAUUAUCUUAGAAAGCAUGACUUUAAAUUUCGGCACAUCCUUUGCAAUCCUGUGAAGCUGGUUUGAUUAGUUUUCUAUACAAAUUUAUCUGUAUAGUUUUCUAUGUUCUAAUUUGAUAAGUGAUUUUCAGUAAAUAUAUAUGUAUCGUGUCUUAAUUCAGAUUCAAUCAUGGAUUAGGAUCAUGUGUUGUGGCACUAACAAAACGUUCCCAUGUGCUGCAGCCUUCCACAUGGGCAAAGAAGGAAGGCCUAGAAAUGAAGGAGCUCUGCAGGAUACGCUGAGGAAACAAGCAAGAUGGAUUUGUUCGGGUUAUGGUGUUCUUCCAUAAGUUUUAGGGUAAAUUGAAAUAGGAUUUUUCUGCAGGAAACAGUGGUGUUCUUGUUUGCCUGACCAGCAGUUCACAAUACUCCACAUGAUGCCCAAUCUCGAGAAGGAAAUAUAUAUAGCAAGGGCACCUGGACGUUUAGAUGUCUUGGGUGGCAAUGCUGAUUAUUCAUGGAGUCUUGUUCUGCAGGGCUUGGGGUAGAAAAAAUAUGAAUAGUUGAGAAGGAGAUGUUGGCUUCAAUUUUUGACUUCCUCGAACUGGAGAUAUGGUUGUGAAAAGGCUGAAGGAUGCAGCUGCUCCUCGACCAAAUGUUGUCAGAAGCAUGAAGGACCUAUUUCUGAUUAAUAGCGAACCAGCCAAUGAACUUCUUUUGUAAUGCAUGUAAUGUAAUGACUGCGAUGGCACUAUGUACUGAUGAAGCACCAUGUCAUGGAUCCUAUUUGUUCAGGGUAGAAUUCUGGUAGACAUGUUCGGCCAUAUGAACUGAACCACUUAAUCAAUAUGGUGACUUCAUUAUUAGUGCUCAUGUUUGUUUAA